rnacentral:rRNA from 1 species
GAUGAACGCUGGCGGCGUGCUUAACACAUGCAAGUCGAACGGAGGUUAUGUGGGUGCUUGCACCGGUAUAACUUUAGUGGCGGACGGGUGAGUAACGCGUGGGCAACCUGGCCUGUGGAGGGGGAUAACAAUGAGAAAUCAUUGCUAAUACCGCAUAAGCUUACACUAAAGCAUUUUAGAGUAAGAAAAGAUUUAUCGCCGCAGGAUGGGCCCGCGUCUGAUUAGCUAGUUGGUGUGGUAACGGCAUACCAAGGCAACGAUCAGUAGCCGACCAGAGAGGGUGAACGGCCACAUUGGGACUGAGACACGGCCCAAACUCCUACGGGAGGCAGCAGUGGGGAAUAUUGCACAAUGGGGGGAACCCUGAUGCAGCAACGCCGCGUGAAGGAAGAAGGCUUUCGGGUUGUAAACUUCUAUCGACAGGGACGAAGAAAGUGACGGUACCUGAGGAAGAAGCCCCGGCUAACUACGUGCCAGCAGCCGCCGC